UUUAGUAAGCUGGUAAACAUUUGUUGAGUGAGAUUUUUUUUUUCAGUAAAAGCAUGUUGUACCAAAUGUCUGGAACUAUGAUUGAAGAAACUUCAAUAAUAAAUUCAAUGGCUGACUGAUCACCUGAUAAGUGACCUACUUCUGCCUGGGUAUUGGUAGAAUUCUUUCUUUAUCCUUGAAGUUCAGUAACUUCAUCAGGAUAUAUCUCGGUCUUGGUGUGAUUCUCUAUUACAUUUUCCUGUUACAUGACAUUCUCUGUUGACUUCUUGCUAUGACAGAUGUUUUCAGUCCCACUUCUCACUACUGACCUUCCUCGUUCGGCAGUCACUGACCUGGCGCCUCUCUGGGGUUCUACCCAGAAGAUUAGCCUUCGCUGCAGUCCCUCUGGUUUGUGAAGAGACUGUGUUUCCACACUAUGUCCCUAUGCACCUUGAACCCCAAAGAGCCCAGCCAGAGGGAAGACCCCAGUGAGCAAACCAGGGCUCCUCAGCCUCCUGUGCUGCUGGGAUUACAGGCAUGCACCACCACAUC